rnacentral:lncRNA from 1 species
GUGAUUUAGAUUUACUGCUGUUGUAAGACGUGUAUUUGGAUCAGUAGUGGUAUGUAUUAGUAUUUGCAAGUGGUAUCAUUAAACCUUGUGCAUUGAUUGCUGACCUCUAUUUUUACCAUGCAGAAUUGUUUAUGCUUAAGAGCUUACAUUUGAUUGCACUUGUUAGCCUAUUUUCAUUAAACCUUGUGUAUUGAUUGCUUGGGGGAUAUGGGUAAUGCCUACAUCUUUGAGCAACCGAUUUGAACGGGAAACAAGUCGUUUGUAGUUGUCUUCCCUGCUUGACGCAAAUCAAGGUUGGUUGUGUUGAAAAAAACGAAAGAAACUGAAGGUUCCGUUAUUGUUUGCAUAUUCUUAUUAGUCGGGGCCGAUAUUCUUGUUUGCUUUGUUUUUAAUGGAUUUUGAUGUCAGGAUCAUUUCCUUAUGAUUGGACAUGGAUAUUACUGUUGGUUUCAUGCUUUGGAAUUGUUUGUUCAAUUUAGGUUGUGAUUUUUGCUGUAUUGACACAAGGUUGAUGGGUUGUUUCUUUUCCAGUCUAGUUGGAGAACAACCUUUCCUCUUGUUUACUCAUGU